GACGAACGCUGGCGGCGUGCUUAACACAUGCAAGUCGAACGGAAAGACCCUGCUUUUGUGGGGUGCUCGAGUGGCGAACGGGUGAGUAACACGUGAGUAACCUGCCCUUGACUUUGUGAUAACUUCAGGAAACUGGGGCUAAUACCGGAUAGGAGCUCCUGCUGCAUGGUGGGGGUUGGAAAGUUUCGGCGGUUGGGGAUGGACGCGCGGCUUAUCAGCUUGUUGGUGGGGUAGUGGCUUACCAAGGCUUUGACGGGUAGCCGGCCUGGGAGGGUGACCGGCCACAUUGGGCCUGCGAUACGGCCCAGACUCCUACGGGAGGCAGCAGUGGGGAAUAUUGCACAAUGGGCGGAAGCCUGAUGCAGCAACGCCGCGUGCGGGAUGACGGCCUUCGGGUUGUAAACCGCUUUCGCCUGUGACGAAGCGUGAGUGACGGUAAUGGGUAAAGAAGCACCGGCUAACUACGUG
rnacentral:rRNA from 1 species